rnacentral:lncRNA from 1 species
GCAAUUGUUUACGUGACAAUACAGAGUUCCAACAAUCUAGUCUGAUUUGAGAAAACAAAGCUAAUAUCAAUCACAAGAAUAUCUAGAAAGCGCUAUAAGCACCUUUAAAAAAUGAGUAACAUGACUUCAAACAAAAUGCACUUCUACUGAUUUUAAUCUCAAACACUACACCGAUCCAAGGCAACUAUCCGGGCCCAAGCAAUUCCUGCUAAAAAACUUCAAUCUCAACUGCCAAACCUGCAUAGAAUCAAAACACAUACAAAAUUGUAAUAAGUUAUAAAAGAAAGCUUCCAAACUAAUCCAGAGUAAUAACAUCCGUGGAAACGCCACUACUAUAUUAUGGAAAUAGGUAAAUGUGUGUAACACACGUGAAAACAACAGACUAGUUACAAGUUCAAAAAAAUUAGUCCGAAGAAAAGUGUGCCAAAUGAAAGUAUAAUCUAAGUUAGGCUACAAGUGACAAGUAACAAGCACACAUCACAAAGCUAAAAGUACAGUAGCAGUAGCAGUUGGUCCAGUAAUCGGUUCUGGACCGAACAGACAAUAUGUGCAUGGGGCUAACCAGGCUGGGAGUUGUCUCUUUUCUGGCCUAGUGAACAAAGAUGAGACAUGUACUUAGUUUUUUUUCUGAGAGGAAGCAUUGCCCCUGUACAUGUAUUUAGUUUAUCUUGAUCAACCGUUUCUGUACUAUAAAAGAAAUGAGAAAAAAAAGUGACAUGCACUUAGGUUUUUUUGUGAGAGGAAGAUGUGCGCACAUGUAAGUACUUGGAUUUCCUGGAUCAAAAUUUUCUGUAUAAGCGAGCAGCUGAAAAUUAUGUAAAAAAAUCCGCCAGCAUAGACACUGUACCACACCAUUCCUUAGCAAACAAAAAUGACAGUAAAGAAGUGACAGACUAACUUCAAGAUAAUUAACACAAACUGGGCAUAAAAAUAGGCCAAGUUCAAAUCAAAAUAUGUUAUGUUGUGGACUAUACUAGCUCAAUAUUUAAAUCAAAAUCAGCACCUAAGGAUUUUUCAUCUAACUUGAUGCUUAUGCUGCAAGUUCAUCUCAAAGUGCCAACAAAUAUAGUACUAAACAAUACUUGCUUGCCAAGUGAAGUUCAAAUGGCAUGCAAAACAUUAACAAAGAACAUGAUACAAUUUCAUUGAGAGAUCUCCCACACUAAUAGUUUAUUUGUGGGGUACUAAACUAUGUACUUUUAUUUCAUGAAAAAAUUAAAAUCUGCACUGUAGUAAAUUAUUAAACAAGAAAACACUUGAUAAACGGUAAACUAAUAGUUAGGAAAGUCUAGUAGAGUAUGGAUACAAUGCAUGAUCUCAGGGACAUUGUCCAAUGCAGAUUUUAGGCACACAGAAAUAUCUGUACAAUUAUAACUACUAGAACCACACAACAGUCCACACCUUGAACAACUCACAACAGUCCGCACCUUGAACAGCUCAAAAUCUACAGCCUGAAUAAUUCACAUCAAGAAUGGAAGGGUAUCAAGCUCACCCUAUUCUGCUCAAGGACGGUGUCGUCGGCAUCGAUUAUGUGGGAGAUGUACUGACUAUAAUGUGCAAAGCAAAGAUAUUAGUGUGACAAUUGGAUAUGUGGUUUCAUUCAUUAUUACUGAAAUGCAAAUGUUGUCUCAACUGAACCGAAUUCUUACAGAACUAUGCCUUCCCAAAUGUCUAAAUUUACUAACUGAAUUCUUAAAGAAUUGAUUCAAUUGCAUACUAACUGAACUAAGGAACAAUGUACAAUGGGUAGCCGCACAUUAUUUUCCAUCUUUGCAUUGGUGAGACUAAAACACAUAUAUCAGACACCAAAUUACUAGUCCUUAAAAUGUGCCAACUAAAAUGAAAUACCUUUUGAUGUGAUAUACACUAUAAACCUCUACAUGUCCAGCAGGCAGUAGCUAAACUGAACAUUUGCUGCCACUGACAGCACAUGCUUUUGACCCUAAACACACAUGAAGGUAUCAAGGAGGUUAAUUGAACAUGGUAAAACUGAAAUAUUUAACAUUUGUUGAUUUUAUAUCGAUUCAUUUAAUACAUUGAGGAACCUAAACAGAUAAAACAACCGAAUUAAAAAAUAGAUGUGAGUUAUCAACCCUUCAGACUAGCAAACUUAUGGCAGUUUAUCUUAUGUAGCGUAAUGUAAAUACAGGAAUUAGCACACAACAUAAUUAUCCUUCUGUUAGUUUAUCCUCAUGUAUCCUUAUUUAGUUUAUAUUGCAUACAGGGAUUUUGUUUGAAUUACUGCUUCAUCUAUUCAUUUCAUUUCUUCCAUUCUGUCAUACGGAUUCCAUCUUUCCUUAGCUUUGUGAGUCCACACACCGGCUGUAGAGGAGGAACAAGCGUCAGUAUUUGCAUCUAAUUCAGAAGAUUAAAACAAGGAAGAAGAAAUACACUAACAAUUAAGAGCAUAUCUAGGAAAGGAGAAGUUGCACAAUAUAACUAGCUAAGGAGACCAGGCCAGCUCGUCCUCUGCACUGAAUUGGGUGUAAGAUGCAUAUAUUUUUACUACAAUCCAUUCCAUUUAUCUUAUUUUACUUUCAUAUAUUAAAAUCGGUGCACAUGAAUGCAUGCAUCUAACAGUAUCAUAAGAAUCGUAUGCUUGCUCUUUGCACAUGUAGUACGUUGCACCAAACACAUUCUAUUAUGGAUACUACAGAGCCUUAUUUUAAAAUUCUGCCACAACAUCAUUGUUAAGUUACAACUAAUUCAGAAUUUGUGAAAAAAAUAAGCAAACCUUCUCAAGUGGCUAGCUUCUAAUGGUAUCGAUUUUCCAAGAGUUGUUAUUGAAUACAUCAUGGACAGAAAUCAUGCACAAAGCUCGUUGUGCACUAUAAAAAACAGUAUGCAAACCAUUAACUUUAGCAACAUUAGCUAUACCUGAAUGAUGAUAUUAGAAAAUAGAACAUCCACUCAACUGAUUAUGCAAAAAGCACCUAUGAAACAACACCGAAAUAGUGCAUCCACCAAAAUGGUUAUGCAAAAAGCACCUACGAACCAGCAUACAGGCCAUGGGAUUAACAAGUUUCCCACACUAUCCAACACAUAAUACAACCGACUAAAGGUGCAACGAGUCCUACAAGAAAAACUAGAUUCCUACUAGCCAAUUUAGCCCAUUAUUCAGGCGCAUACAAGUAGUAAUCUACAUGUAACAGAGUAUGGCCCAGUCAUGCGCUCUGAACAGAGGAGGGACGCAGCUCACCAAAGAGGCUUGUAGAUGAUGUAACUGUCGCAGUGCAGGCCAGACACCGCCGUCG